rnacentral:rRNA from 1 species
UACGGAGGGUGCAAGCGUUAUCCGGAUUCACUGGGUUUAAAGGGUGCGUAGGUGGGUUGGUAAGUCAGUGGUGAAAUCUCCAGGCUUAACUUGGAAGCUGCCAUUGAUACUAUCAAUCUUGAAUACCGUGGAGGUCAGCGGAAUAUGUCAUGUAGCGGUGAAAUGCUUAGAUAUGACAUAGAACACCAAUUGCGAAGGCAGCUGGCUACACGAAUAUUGACACUGAUGCACGAAAGCGUGGGGAUCAAACA